AAUAAAUUUUUUAUGGUUUUAAAAAUUUAUUUUAAAUUUAUUUUACAUAUAAAUUUUAGUGUUAAUUAUUAAUUAUUUAAAUAAUAUUUAAUAUUUUUGUAGUAAUUAGUUUUAAAAAUUUAAGGAAUUAAGAUUUAGUAAUAUUAAAAUUUAAUAACUAAUUUUGUGCCAGCAGUUGCGGUUAUACAAAAGUUAAUUUAAAUUUUUUUUUAGUUAUUAAUUAAUAAUUUUAAUAAUAAUUUAAAUUUUGAAUUUUAAAGUGAAAUUUUAAUUUAAUAAAAAAUUAUUUAAUAAUUAUGAUUUAAUAAAUUUUAUAAAAAACUAGGAUUAGAUACCCUAUUAUUAAAAUUUAAAUUAAUAAUGCUUAAAUAGUAGAUAAUUAUUUAUUGAAACUUAAAUAAUUUGGCGGUAUUUUAGUUCAUUUAGAGGAAUCUGUUUAAUAAUUGAUAAUCCACGAAUAAAUUUACUUAAUUUAUUAUUUUGUAUAUCGUUGUUAAAAAAAUAUUUUUUAAUAAUAUUAAUAUUUAAGAAUUUUUAAUUUAAAUUAAAUCAGAUCAAGAUGCAGAUUAUAAUUAAGAAUAUAAUGGAUUACAAUAAAUUUAUUUAAUUGAAUUUUAAUAUGUAAAAUUAAAUGAAAUUGGAUUUAAAUGUAAUUUUAUUUAAUUUUUUAAAAUGAUUAAAUAUUAAAAUAUGUACAUAUUGCCCGUCGCUUUCAUUUAUAAAUUGAAAUAAGUCGUAACAAAGUAGAAGUACUGGAAAGUGUUUCUAGAAAGAU
rnacentral:ncRNA from 1 species